ACCUUACCAAGGCUUGACAUAUAGCGAAACGCGGCAGAGAUGUCGUGUCCGCAAGGGCGCUAUACAGGUGGUGCAUGGUUGUCGUCAGCUCGUGUCGUGAGAUGUUGGGUUAAGUCCCGCAACGAGCGCAACCCUCGUUCUGUGUUGCCAGCAUUUAGUUGGGGACUCACAGGAGACUGCCGUGGUUAACACGGAGGAAGGUGGGGAUGACGUCAAAUCAUCAUGCCCCUUAUGUCUUGGGCUGCACGCAUGCUACAAUGGCCGAUACGAAGGGCUGCAAUACCGUGAGGUGGAGCGAAUCCCAUAAAGUCGGUCUCAGUUCGGAUUGAGGUCUGCAACUCGACCUCAUGAAGUCGGAGUUGCUAGUAAUCGUAGAUCAGCAACGCUACGGUGAAAACGUUCCCGGGUCUUGUACACACCGCCCGUCACGUCACGAAAGUCGG
rnacentral:rRNA from 1 species